AUGAUCGAGGUGGUGCUCAACGACCGCCUGGGGAAGAAGGUGCGCGUCAAGUGCAACGAGGACGACACCAUCGGCGACCUCAAGAAGCUCGUGGCGGCGCAGACCGGGACCAGGGCCGAGAAGAUCCGCAUCCAGAAGUGGUACACCAUCUACAAGGACCACAUCACCCUCGGCGACUACGAGAUCCACGACGGCAUGGGCCUCGAGCUCUACUACAACUAG
rnacentral:rRNA from 1 species